rnacentral:rRNA from 1 species
AUACAUAACGACUCUCGGCAACGGAUAUCUCGGCUCUCGCAUCGAUGAAGAACGUAGCGAAAUGCGAUACUUGGUGUGAAUUGCAGAAUCCCGCGAAUCAUCGAGUCUUUGAACGCAAGUUGCGCCCGAAGCCAUUCGGCCAAGGGCACGUCUGCCUGGGUGUCACGC